GUCCUUGUAGUGCCAAGGACAGCACGUUGGACUUCUAAUCCAAAGGUUGUGGGUUCGAAUCCUACCAGGGAUG